rnacentral:rRNA from 1 species
GCCUACGGGGGGCAGCAGUGGGGAAUAUUGCACAAUGGGGGAAGCCCUGAUGCAGCGACGCCGCGUGAGUGAAGAAGUAUUUCGGUAUGUAAAGCUCUAUCAGCAGGGAAGAAAUACUGACCUUACGGUCAGCAGACGGUACCUGACUAAGAAGCCCCGGCUAACUACGUGCCAGCAGCCGCGGUAAUACGUAGGGGGCAAGCGUUAUCCGGAUUUACUGGGGGUAAAGGGAGCGUAGACGGCAGCGCAAGGCGGAAGGGAAAUCCCAUGGC